GCUAAUGUAGCUUAAAUAAAAGCAUAACACUGAAGAUGUUAAGUUGGACCCUUAAAAGUCUCGUUAACA
rnacentral:tRNA from 1 species